rnacentral:snRNA from 10 species
GUGUUGCUUUGGCAGCUCGUAUACCGAAAUAGGAGAUUAGCAUGGCCUCUGCUCAAGAACAACAUGUAAAUUCAUGAAGCGUUCCAUUUUUGU